AGUCCCGGUCACAUUUCACCUGUCUGCGCCCCUUCUCGGUUUCAUUGUAUUUGUUCAUUAUCCUGCUGUAUUAAUGCUUCUGUGUUCCCCCUUUUGGACUCAAUUCCAGGGGUGCAGGUCCGGGUCCCUGCUUUGACGGCAGCGCCAGGUCCUGGGAAACCUGCGCCCCUGCCCCAGAAAGCUGGUCGCGCUCUCGGACUUGUGGAGCAGUCGCAGCCCAGGAAGAAAAGUCGAAGACUUGAGGGGGCAACAGCGCAGGGACCACUGUGGCGCCCCGGGGGCCUGCGGUUCCCAGGGCCGCUCCCACCCCCCCCAAGCAACGGCCCACCGGCCCACCCUAGGGACAGCGAGUUCGAGGCCAGCCUGGGCUACUUAGCGAGUUGCUGCCUCAAAAAAAAGAGGCCAGGUUGGAGGAGGUCACAGUGACAGUGACGAGGCAGAAGGCGAAGGGAGAGCAACCUCCCCCACGGCUGUGCCCCAAAAGACUGAAACUGGCAGUGCCAGCCUGGCGUGGUGGUGCAUGCCUGUCAUUCCGGCACUCUGGAAGGCUGAAGCAGGAGGAUGGCAAGUUGUAGACCAGCCCAGUACCAGGGGGAGAGAGAGAAAGAAAGAGAAAGAGAGAAAGGAGCUCCACAAACAUGCGUUCACACAAGUUCACAGCAGCGCUCUUCACGGGAGCCCCGAGGUGGCAGCAGCUCACCUGUCCAUCGGGAAGGGGUCCAGCUAAUCGAUGCAGACGGAAUGGUGGGGAAGAUGACCACCCAGGGACUUCCAGCUGGCCUGGGUGCUGAGCAUCAACGGCUGCUGGUGUGACACUUGGAAGCCACUAGACAUCAUGGCCUCCUGGGCAGAAUGCAUGUUCUGCGAGGAUCGAACUUCGGACCUUGCACUUGCGAGGCAGUUGCCGGAACCACUGAGCUAAAUCCCUGGUCCUUACGUCACAGUUUUGUAAUCAUCAGAAUCUAGAUGUGGCUAAUCUGUAAUAUCCAUGGUGUGGCUACUUUGAUGACCAAUUGUCAAAAAAAAAAAAGGUAAAAGGUAAAAGGUGAAGCUUGCAUUAAAGGGGAUUUCAGGACAUCAACCA
rnacentral:lncRNA from 1 species